rnacentral:rRNA from 1 species
GGGUUGUGAGGUUAAGCGACUAAGCGUACACGGUGGAUGCCCUGGCAGUCAGAGGCGAUGAAGGGCGUGCUAAUCUGCGAUAAGCGCCGGUAAGGUGAUAUGAACCGUUAUAACCGGCGAUACCCGAAUGGGGAAACCCAGUGUGAUUCGUCACACUAUCAUUAACUGAAUCCAUAGGUUAAUGAGGCGAACCGGGGGAACUGAAACAUCUAAGUACCCCGAGGAAAAGAAAUCAACCGAGAUUCCCCCAGUAGCGGCGAGCGAACGGGGAGGAGCCCAGAGCCUGAAUCAGCAUGUGUGUUAGUGGAAGCGUCUGGAAAGGCGCGCGAUACAGGGUGACAGCCCCGUACACAAAAGCGCAUGUGCUGUGAGCUCGAUGAGUAGGGCGGGACACGUGGUAUCCUGUCUGAAUAUGGGGGGACCAUCCUCCAAGGCUAAAUACUCCUGACUGACCGAUAGUGAACCAGUACCGUGAGGGAAAGGCGAAAAGAACCCCGGCGAGGGGAGUGAAAAAGAACCUGAAACCGUGUACGUACAAGCAGUGGGAGCCCCACCACUAAGCCAGUGGUGAACUCCACAUACGCAUCCUUUGCUGAAGGCAAUGGUUAACGGAGCGAAAGCGACGUUCAACCGCAAAACAAGCAGAGGGGGCUUAGUGGUGGGGUGACUGCGUACCUUUUGUAUAAUGGGUCAGCGACUUAUAUUCUGUAGCAAGGUUAACCGUAUAGGGGAGCCGGAGGGAAACCGAGUCUUAAUUGGGCGUUAAGUUGCAGGGUAUAGACCCGAAACCCGGUGAUCUAGCCAUGGGCAGGUUGAAGGUUGGGUAACACUAACUGGAGGACCGAACCGACUAAUGUUGAAAAAUUAGCGGAUGACCUGUGGCUGGGGGUGAAAGGCCAAUCAAACCGGGAGAUAGCUGGUUCUCCCCGAAAGCUAUUUAGGUAGCGCCUCGUGAAUUCAUCUCCGGGGGUAGAGCACUGUUUCGGCUAGGGGGCCAUCCCGGCUUACCAACCCGAUGCAAACUGCGAAUACCGGAGAAUGUUAUCACGGGAGACACACGGCGGGUGCUAACGUCCGUCGUGAAGAGGGAAACAACCCAGACCGCCAGCUAAGGUCCCAAAGUCAUGGUUAAGUGGGAAACGAUGUGGGAAGGCCCAGACAGCCAGGAUGUUGGCUUAGAAGCAGCCAUCAUUUAAAGAAAGCGUAAUAGCUCACUGGUCGAGUCGGCCUGCGCGGAAGAUGUAACGGGGCUAAACCAUGCACCGAAGCUGCGGCAGCGAACGUAUCACUUAAAGCGAUUCAGCGGGUUACGAUUGACGGAGCGAAGCGACGUCAAAGCGUAUACAAAGUCGAGUCGGUUUAAGGAUACGUUCGUUGGGUAGGGGAGCGUUCUGUAAGCCUGCGAA